GCCUGUAAUCGGCGAAAGGCUGAGCCGCUUGAGCGGCUCAGCCUUUGUCAUUGCGCGGGC
rnacentral:sRNA from 1 species